rnacentral:ncRNA from 1 species
CCACGAAAAGGCAAACCUGUCGCGAGGCAGGGGCGCAAAGCCAUGGGACCCCCGCGGUCAGCCAGGCUACCGAAA